rnacentral:rRNA from 1 species
CCUACGGGAGGCAGCAGUAGGGAAUAUUGCUCAAUGGGGGAAACCCUGAACCAGCAACGCCGCGUGGAGGAUGAAGGCUUUCGGAGUGGAAACUCCUUUUGUUAGAGAAGAUAAUGACGGUACCUAUCGAAUAAGCACCGGCUAACUCCGUGCCAGCAGCCGCCGUAAUACGGAGGGUGCAAGCGUUACUCGGAAGCACUGGGCGUAAAGAGCGCGUAGGCGGGAUAGCAAGUCAGAUGUGAAAUCCUAUGGCUUAACCAUAGAACUGCAUUUGAAACUGUUAUUCUAGAGUAUGGGAGAGGUAGGUGGAAUUCGUGGUGUAGGGGUAAAAUCCGUAGAGAUCAAGAGGAAUACUGAUUGCGAAGGCGACCUGCUAGAACAUAACUGACGCUGAUGCGCGAAAGCGUGGGGAGCAAACAGGAUUAGAUACCCGUGUAGUC